GACGAACGCUGGCGGCGUGCUUAACACAUGCAAGUCGAACGGAAAGGCCCUGCUUUUGUGGGGUGCUCGAGUGGCGAACGGGUGAGUAACACGUGAGUAACCUGCCCUUGACUUUGGGAUAACUUCAGGAAACUGGGGCUAAUACCGGAUAGGAGCUCCUGCUGCAUGGUGGGGGUUGGAAAGUUUCGGCGGUUGGGGAUGGACUCGCGGCUUAUCAGCUUGUUGGUGGGGUAGUGGCUUACCAAGGCUUUGACGGGUAGCCGGCCUGAGAGGGUGACCGGCCACAUGGGGACUGAGAUACGGCCCAGACUCCUACGGGAGGCAGCAGUGGGGAAUAUUGCACAAUGGGCGGAAGCCUGAUGCAGCAACGCCGCGUGCGGGAUGACGGCCUUCGGGUUGUAAACCGCUUUCGCCUGUGACGAAGCGUGAGUGACGGUAAUGGGUAAAGAAGCACCGGCUAACUACGUGCCAGCAGCCGCGGUGAUACGUAGGGUGCGAGCGUUGUCCGGAUUUAUUGGGCGUAAAGGGCUCGUAGGUGGUUGAUCGCGUCGGAAGUGUAAUCUUGGGGCUUAACCCUGAGCGUGCUUUCGAUACGGGUUGACUUGAGGAAGGUAGGGGAGAAUGGAAUUCCUGGUGGAGCGGUGGAAUGCGCAGAUAUCAGGAGGAACACCAGUGGCGAAGGCGGUUCUCUGGGCCUUUCCUGACGCUGAGGAGCGAAAGCGUGGGGAGCGAACAGGCUUAGAUACCCUGGUAGUCCACGCUGUAAACGGUGGGUACUAGGUGUGGGGUCCAUUCCACGGGUUCCGUGCCGUAGCUAACGCUUUAAGUACCCCGCCUGGGGAGUACGGCCGCAAGGCUAAAACUCAAAGGAAUUGACGGGGCCCCGCACAAGCGGCGGAGCAUGCGGAUUAAUUCGAUGCAACGCGUAGAACCUUACCUGGGUUUGACAUGGAUCGGGAGUGCUCAGAGAUGGGUGUGCCUCUUUUGGGGUCGGUUCACAGGUGGUGCAUGCCUGUCGUCAGCUCGUGUCGUGAGAUGUUGGGUUAAGUCCCGCAACGAGCGCAACCCUUGUUCACUGUUGCCAGCACGUUAUGGUGGGGACUCAGUGGAGACCGCCGGGGUCAACUCGGAGGAAGGUGGGGAUGACGUCAAGUCCUCAUGCCCCUUAUGUCCAGGGCUUCACGCAUGCUACAAUGGCUGGUACAGAGAGUGGCGAGCCUGUGAGGGUGAGCGAAUCUCGGAAAGCCGGUCUCAGUUCGGAUUGGGGCCUGCAACUCGACCUCAUGAAGUCGGAGUCGCUAGUAAUCGCAGAUCAGCAACGCUGCGGUGAAUACGUUCCCGGG
rnacentral:rRNA from 1 species